CGCAAUCAUAGGCCUUAUCUGCACUCGGAAACGGGACUGAUCACCCCGUUUAGAAUUAAUCAGUUGCGGUGCGCGCCCGUAAUUGUCCGACACCGUAAGGUAAUGAUUAGCGAAAAUGGUCAGAUAUUGCCGCUCUCCACUUACCGGCGAAUCUAAAAAUCCGUAGAUUGACCCAGUAGCCAAGCUUGACCUAGAUGGCGCUAUUAUCAGCCGUGAUGUACGUAACAGUAGUUAACGAGCAAGGACCACGUUGUGAAGAAAAGUUGAAGUUCGAGGAUCAUCGUUUGCCACCCUCAGGUCUUCUCGUCGUCUUGUAAUUAUUUCGAGGAUUUUCUUGGACUCUGAGGGUUCUGGUCGACGACACAAGUUUGGCUGUGACGUGUUCCCUUGCAUCCCGGUCGGCCGGCAUCGUCUCUUCACACCUGGAUGGCCUUGACAUGCCACUAUCGCCCCAGGACGGACCUUAUCAGACUUCAACCGAUAAGUCUAACUCUUAAUUAUAACUUUCGACCGUAUCGGUGACCACUAUUCCUUUGUGUGGGACACAGAAACAGACUCAGUAUUUGCCACUUCCAGAGUGAAGUUAUAUGAACUAAGCUGAAUAGUAUAUUGGCUGUUUCCAUAGUCUAUAAUAUUGUCGUUUUAAACAUGUAUUAAUAAUUGUUCUAUUUAUUCUCUGUUAAGAUAUAUGUGUCCUAUUUAUUAUUUUCGGUGGCCACCGCUAAUUAUCUCUGUAUUGGCUAGAUUUAUUUUGCUCGAGCAAACUAGUACAUCCUAUCAUUUAACAUAGUUAGAGCCUAUUUGUUUGAAAAGUAUAUUUAUUUAUAGCUUCAUUAUUAGGGUAUAGCUCUGUUUUGCUUGAGCGAACUGUUCUCAUUAAUUUAGCAAGGUUUACUUUUAUUUUGCAGGAACAAUAGAUAUAUAUUGUGAAUGUUUAUUAGGGCAUGAACCCCUGAUGCAUGUGAUUUCUUUUGUGUGUAUUUAUUGAGUGGCUUUUACUUUCUAUUGCCUUGGCAUUAAAUUAAGCUCAAAUUAUCGAAA